UACGAAGGGGGCUAGCGUUGCUCGGAAUCACUGGGCGUAAAGCGCACGUAGGCGGAUUGUUAAGUCAGGGGUGAAAUCCUGGAGCUCAACUCCAGAACUGCCUUUGAUACUGGCGAUCUUGAGUCCGGGAGAGGUGAGUGGAACUGCGAGUGUAGAGGUGAAAUUCGUAGAUAUUCGCAAGAACACCAGUGGCGAAGGCGGGUCUCUGGACAGUUCCUGACACUGAGGCACGAAGGCCAGGGGAGCAAACGGG
rnacentral:rRNA from 1 species